rnacentral:rRNA from 1 species
AUGGAUUUACUAUAAUAUACUUGUAUAGGUGUUCACGAAUGGAUGCGAGCUAGGUAUGUAACGAUAUUAGUCUACAGUGUAAUACGUAGUAUAGUAUUUACUAUAUACAUAUCUUGGGGUGAUAGGCUUUUCAAGCUUCCUGAUAACUUGAUGUGUAAGAAAAAUAUUAAGUAUUAAAUCAAACUAUUAAAGUUAAGCUUGGUAGUUAAUAUAAAUAGAAUAUUAUACUUAUGCCGCUAAAGCUUAAUCCCUGAGCUGUAAUAUACUUUAUUAUAAAGCAUUUGUUUUUAUAUACAUUAUUACAUUAUAUUUUUGCAGUUAAAAUAGAAAAUGUAAAUAUAAGUAAUUAUUAACUUUGUUUUUAAGGAACUCGGCAAAUAGGUUACUCAACUGUUUAUCAAAAACAUAACUAUAUGACAUAAUAUAUAGCGCUUCUGCUCAAUGGAACUCUAAAUAGCCGCAGUACUCUGACUGUGCAAAGGUAGCAUAAUCAAUUGGCCUCUAAUUAAGGUCUGGAAUGAACGAACUUAUGGGUAGCAACUGUCUUAAAAUAGUUAAUUAAAUUGAUUAAUAAGUGCAAAUACUUAUUCAAUUAUAUUAGACGAGAAGACCCUAGAAACUUAUAAUUAUUUUGUUGGGGCGACAGAAUUACAUAAAACUAAUUUUAUCUUACAAGACGAAAAACAGAAAGAAAAAGUUACUCUAGGGAUAACAGCAUAAUUUUACAUAGCUUGUGACCUCGAUGUUGGACUAGGUAGAUAGUUUUUUAGAAGAAAGCUUUCUUGGCUCUGUUCGAGCAAUUUAACCUACAUGAUCUG